GUGUAGGGAAGCGCUGGUGGCCUAGCGGUAAGAGCGUGCGACUUUCAAUCCGGAGGUCGCGGGUUCAAACCCCGGCUCGUACCAAUGAUUUUUCGGAACUUAUGUACGAAAUAUCAUUUGAUAUUUACCAGUCGCUUUUCAGUGAAGGAAAACAUCGUGAGAAAACCGGACUAAUCCCAAUAAGGCCUAGUUUCCCCCCUGGGUUGGAAGGUCAGAUGGCAGUCGCUUUCGUAAAAACUAGUGCCUACGUCAAUUCUUGGGAUUAGUUGUCAAGCGGACCCCAGGCUCCCAUGAGCCGUGGCAAAAUGCCGGGAUAACGCGAGGAAGAAUCUAAGAGGUCAAGUACGCGAACCUUGAACAGGUGUACGAUUUUGUCCCGGUUGCCGUCGAGACGGCGGGGCCUUGGUGUGCCGAGGCCAAAGCCUUUAUUAAGGAUAUAGGGCGACGCUUAAGGGAUAGGGGCUGCGACCCUCGGUCUGGUUCUUUCCUUAUCCAACAAAUAUCACUGGCCAUUCAGCGGGGUAAUGCCGCCAGUAUUUUUGGCACAUUUGAUCCGGGAGACAAUCAGAGUGGGGGGCAAUAUUUUAUUUGUUAAGUUCGUUUUACUCAUUCUUAGGUUUAUUUUAGUUUAUAAUUUGUAUG